GAUGGGCGAGGACACUGUUGUUAUGACUGGUGCUUGGCUGCGGGACAAACUUCCAGAACCCUCGGGAUUUUUUUUUUUUUUCAAUGCCGUCUCAUUGGUCGGUUUCAGCGAGGAAAUGUGACUCCAUUUUGCUGUGAACCUGUCAAACGGACCAAGGCGACUUUCCCGUCAGCAAACCACGAGGUGUUGUUUGGUGCUUUUGAGUCUGAGAGUUCUUGCUGAGGAGAACGGAGCUAUGAUACACAUCUGAAGACAUCUCGAUCACAUGGGCUCGUAUCCUAAGCUGACCCAAUGGUUUAAUCACCAGGACUAAAAAUGAGCAUAAGCAGUGAUGAAGUCAAUUUCCUGGUUUACAGAUACCUGCAAGAGUCAGGCUUCUCCCACUCAGCAUUCACCUUUGGCAUAGAGAGCCACAUCAGCCAGUCCAACAUCAAUGGAGCCCUUGUGCCCCCUGCUGCGCUCAUCUCCAUCAUCCAGAAAGGCCUGCAGUAUGUGGAGGCUGAAGUCAGCAUCAAUGAGGAUGGGACCUUAUUUGACGGGCGGCCCAUAGAGUCGCUAUCGCUGAUCGAUGCUGUAAUGCCAGAUGUAGUCCAAACCAGGCAGCAGGCCUACAGGGAGAAGCUGGCCCAGCAGCAGCAGCAGCAGGCAGCAAGCAGUGGCAGCGGCACAGGGCCCCAGGGAAGCACCAAGAAUGGAGAGGGCACUGCCAACGGGGAGGAAAACGGAUCCCACGCCUUAGCCAAUCACCACUUUGAGAUGAUGGAGAUGGACAUAGACGUGGAGAUCCCCCAGAGUAAAGCCAUGGUGCUGAGAGGACACGAAUCCGAAGUUUUUAUCUGUGCCUGGAACCCAGUGAACGACCUCCUUGCCUCUGGAUGAUGUGAAAAGGUUUGAUAGGGAUUUAAAAAGAUUUCGGAUUUGAUACUGGGUUCAGGUUCCAUAAAAUGCUUUCAAACCCCAACUCUACUCAAGAGCAACGAUGAUCCGGGGACUCGACAGCACGAAUCUGGAACCUGAGUGAGAACAGUACAGGCUCGUCCACUCAGCUAGUUCUAAGGCACUGCAUACGGGAAGGGGGUCAGGACGUACCCAGCAACAAAGACGUCACCUCACUAGACUGGAAUAGCGAAGGAACGCUGCUAGCAACGGGCUCAUAUGAUGGCUUUGCUAGAAUAUGGACAAAAGACGGUAACCUGGCCAGUACUUUGGGUCAGCAUAAAGGUCCUAUAUUUGCACUCAAGUGGAAUAAGAAAGGAAAUUUCAUCCUCAGUGCUGGUGUAGACAAGACCACAAUUAUUUGGGAUGCCCACACAGGAGAAGCAAAACAACAAUUUCCUUUCCACUCGGCACCUGCUCUGGACGUGGACUGGCAGAGCAACAACACGUUUGCCUCCUGCAGCACAGACAUGUGCAUCCAUGUGUGUAAGCUGGGUCAGGACAGACCUGUCAAGACCUUCCAGGGACACACGAAUGAGGUGAACGCCAUCAAGUGGGAUCCCACUGGCAGCUUGCUGGCUUCCUGCUCAGAUGACAUGACACUGAAGAUCUGGAGUAUGAAGCAGGACUUGUGUGUCCAUGACCUCCAGGCCCACAGUAAAGAAAUCUACACUAUCAAGUGGAGCCCCACAGGCCCUGGGACCAAUAGUCCCAGCGCCAACCUCAUGCUGGCCAGUGCAUCAUUUGACUCCACUGUGCGUCUAUGGGAUGUGGAGCGGGGGGUGUGUAUCCACACACUGACCCGCCACCAGGAGCCCGUCUACAGCGUGGCCUUCAGUCCUGAUGGCAGGCACCUCGCCAGUGGUUCCUUUGACAAGUGUGUCCACAUCUGGAACACUCAGACGGGUGCUUUAGUUCACAGCUACCGGGGGACAGGAGGAAUCUUCGAAGUGUGCUGGAACGCCACAGGGGACAAAGUAGGAGCCAGCGCGUCAGAUGGAUCGGUUUGCGUAUUAGACCUGAGGAAAUGACACUCGUGAGGGGGGAGCAAUGGACCGACUACGAAUGUGUACAUUGCCAAAAGGACCACACCUUCGCCACAUACAGUUGUUAUGCACAUGCAUCAGGUGUGUAUGGACACCUGUGCUGCUCUCACAGACCUGCGGGAGGAAACAUGUCUCUGUUAUUACACCGUACAAACUUGUCGGACCCAUCACAUGCAAACCAAAACCUUAGGAUUCUUCUUGCUUUCCUCUUUUUAUCCUUUGUACCAGAAUUCUGAAGAUGUGUUGUUCUCUGUUGGUGUGUGCAUAUUGCAUAUGUCAGCAUUUGAUGUCCUGUGGACAUUGUUGUUUUGAAUUUGGAUUUGACUGAUAUCUGCAGGUUUUAUAUUACUGUACAUGUGGGUGUGGGAGAGAAGAGGGGUCGGGGGUUAAGAAUGAUUUGUCUUUUACAAAGCUGUUCAUUGGGAGAUCGAUUCAUCCACUUUUCUGCAGUCUUUAUGGUUAAAAAAAUGCAGAUGUAUAGCUUAGAAGAUGAAAAUGGUUUAUAAUUUUGGUGACUAUUUCUAUCUAAUAGGUUUGUGUCAUAAUUUACAUUUUUUAACCAAGUAUAAAACAGUUAAUCAAAGGCUGAACUGUCCUUUGUUUUCGCAACUAUCCUCAGAAAUGUGUUUCAGGUGUUCACAAUUCAUCAGGUUAAUACAGAGCUCUAAAGAAUGGAAAGCCUCGGCUGAGAGAUACUCUUUGUAACUGUUAAACACCACGUCGAUCUCAUGUCCUAUCGGUCUGAUGAGCAGAAAGACGCCAACUCUGAUGUGCAGGUCUCCGUCACUGAACUCGUCCUGGAGCCGUCUCGAGCUUGCGAAUAGUUGGCUGAUGUGUUUUUGUGUCUGUCGUGAAGCAACGCGGUACAGGAGAGUCCUGCUUUCUGCCUUUGCUCUAUCUUCUGGGAUCUGUGGAGGGGGGGGAGGGGGGAGAUGUACAGGAAAACGCCCACAACUGCUCGCAUCCAUCUGACAUGAACAAUUGAGUCAUAAUUGUGCUUGUUUUCUCAAUGAAUGGCCUGUUGCUAACCAAUGCUGAAUGAUAAUCAGAUUAGGUCGUGCUAAUUGUGUCCUGUUUCCCCUGUGUGGUCAUCACCCAUCAGGACAUCGUCUGGAGUAUCACUUCCUGGCUGGAGUUUAUAUCACAGUUUGACAGCUUAAAAACAUCCCAACAUUUUUUUAAAGAUCACCUUUUUGGACUCACAAGAUAUGAGGCAGCAAAGGGCGAGCGAGAGCAAGAGAGGGGAAGGCUUAAAGAAAAGGGCCGAGGGUCGCUUUGGAACCCGGGCUGUGAAGCAUUGACUCAGCCUUGUUACAUGGGGACUUACUGCCUGGAACGUUUUCAUGUCCAGCAGGUACACACUACUGCUUCAGUGUUGUUGCCCAGCAUUUACACACACACACACACACACUCUGAUGACAGGCUGCAUUUAGGCCUGUGCACAGACAGACGGAGCUUUUGUUCGCAGUGUUCAAAGUUGGUGUCUUGAGGCAAGUCUGUGCUUGUUAAAUAGCAGCAUAUGACUUGAUGUAACAUGGUAUCUGCAUAUAAUAUAAUAUUAUAUAUGAAUAUAUCUGUGAAGUCACAGGGGACUCUUAUAUGCCACUCAUAUGCUAAUGGAGGCUUUUAAAGUUACUUCACGCUUGAAUUACAGUCGGUGAUGUUAUUGUGCAUCACCAAGGGGCCGUGACCAUGAGGAAUGUUUUUUUUAAAUAUAAAAUAUCGUUAAACAGUCAUAGAGAAAGGGUAGAGGCUAGAGAAAGCCCUUUUGAAGGGUGUUUUUGUCCCCCUGCCCUUUAGAUUUUAGAAACAGGGAGUUUAUUCAAGCCAUCGUAGACUCAUCUAAUUAAAAUGCUCGUAAAGAUGAAUCCGAAUUGGUGCAGAAAUAGUGCAGUGUGUUAAUAAGGGUGAGAAGUGUCCCGUCUGCCUCCUCGGGGUACGUGAGAGCUGAACCAAGCCAACUUGAUGGCGUUCCAGUUCUCAUCUCCCAGACAUAAGAACUAUCGGCUUGAUUCUCUCUCACACACACAUACACACAUAUAUACACACACGUGUCGGCGGUUACUCGUUUUGAAAAAUGUGCUGAAGCUACAGACUAUUUUGAAGUUUGCUUAAUGCAGUCAGCAGUGAUUGGAUCGUACCACAAAGACGCUAUUUCAAAUGAUGUCUAUGACAAUGGAAUGGUAUUUUAUAAUGUUUUGUUUUUAGAUGAUCAUCUUUUACACUCAAGUGUGUUUGCUAUUUUGUGUCCCUCCCGAAAGUACUAACGGUAAUUCUAUCUUUGCUAUGUCAGCGAGCCUUUGAAGGUUUUGUACUUGUCAAAACUUUUGUAAUAAUGAUUUAUUUGUAGCUACGUACACAAAAUGAAAAAAAUAAAAUAAAAUCUGGAUUUAAUUGUCAUUGUAUUGUCACACAGAACAUGUAAAUACCAGUUGGCAGAUCUCUUUUUGUCGUGUCGUGUCGUGUCUGCCUCACCUGUGUUGUGCUCUCGUUCUCUCUCACCUGGUCGCAGUCUGCAGCCUCCUGAUCUGUUGUAUUAUCACUCAGAUUUCAGAAGGUCUAGAAUAAAAUCUAUUUUGAUAAUA